UACGAAGGGGGCUAGCGUUGCUCGGAAUCACUGGGCGUAAAGCGCACGUAGGCGGCUUCCUAAGUCAGGGGUGAAAUCCUGGAGCUCAACUCCAGAACUGCCUUUGAUACUGGGAAGCUUGAGUCCGGGAGAGGUGAGUGGAACUGCGAGUGUAGAGGUGAAAUUCGUAGAUAUUCGCAAGAACACCAGUGGCGAAGGCGGCUCACUGGCCCGGUACUGACGCUGAGGUGCGAAAGCGUGGGGAGCAAACAGG
rnacentral:rRNA from 1 species